AAGCGAUCCUCUGACUGGUCACUCUUCAUGGACACACAAGUGGGCACAGGUGAUGGAGGCCUCUCAUGAUGGAAUGAGCUUGAUCCUGCGGUGACAUCUCCA